UACGUAGGGUGCGAGCGUUGUCCGGAAUUAUUGGGCGUAAAGGGCUCGUAGGCGGUUUGUCGCGUCGGGAGUGAAAACUCAGGGCUUAACCCUGAGCCUGCUUCCGAUACGGGCAGACUAGAGGUAUGCAGGGGAGAACGGAAUUCCUGGUGUAGCGGUGAAAUGCGCAGAUAUCAAGAGGAACACCAGUGGCGAAAGCGACUUCCUGGACCAGUACCGACGUCAGGCACGAAAGCGUGGGGAGCAAACAGG
rnacentral:rRNA from 1 species